rnacentral:rRNA from 1 species
UUUAGAGUAAUUCAAUCAAGGAACAGCUUGUUUGAAUCAGGACACAACCUUGACCAUAGGAUAAUGAAUUCCCAAACACAACUAAGUGGGCCUAAAAGCAGCCAUCUAACAAAAGCGUUAAAGCUUUACUGUCUUCCAAAGAAUACCUUAUAUUUCACAGACUCCUUCAACAGUACUGAGUACAUCUAUACUUAUAGAAAAUUUUAUGUUAAAACUAGUAACAAGAAGUCAUCCUUCUCCUCAAUGCAAGUUUACUCCAGUAAGGACCCCCCACUGGAAAUUAACACCCCCCCCCCCAAGUAGCAACUAAACAAGAAAAAUCUCCUUAACAACCUGUUAACCUAACACAAGAGCAUCCCAGGAAAGAUUAAAAGAAAAAGAAGGAACUCGGCAAACUUCCGCCCCGCCUGUUUACCAAAAACAUCGCCUCUUGAAUCAUGUAAGAGGUCCAGCCUGCCCAGUGACUUUGUUUAACGGCCGCGGUAUCCUAACCGUGCGAAGGUAGCGUAAUCACUUGUUCUUUAAAUAAGGACUAGUAUGAAAGGCAUUACGAGGGUCAAACUGUCUCCUUUUUCUAAUCCGUGAAACUAAUCUUCCCGUGAAGAAGCGGGAAUAUUUUUAUAAGACGAGAAGACCCUAUGGAGCUUUAAAUUGAACGCCACCUACAUUUCUCUUUUAAAUUCCAGAAAAAAUCAAUAAAUACAAUGAACCCCCGGCUGUAAAUUUUAGGUUGGGGCGACCGCGGAGAAAAACCUAUCCUCCACAUUGUUAAAGAAUCAUCUUAAACAAAAAGCAACAACUUUAUGUAUCAAUAAAAUUGACAUCAAUUGACCCAUUUACUUGAUCAACGAACCAAGUUACCCUAGGGAUAACAGCGCCAUCCACUUUAAGAGCUCAUAUCGACAAGUGGGCUUACGACCUCGAUGUUGGAUCAGGGUAUCCAAGUGAUUAAAACCCUACGUGAUCUGAGUUCAGACCGGAGUAAUCCAGGUCAGUUUCUAUCUAUUAAUAGUUACCUCUAGUACGAAAGGACCGAAGUAACGUGGCCUAUGCCCAAGGUAAGCCAUACCAAAUUACUUUUGAAACCAACUUAACAAGUAAUUUACAUUCACUUCUC